GGGACGAACGCUGGCGGCGUGCUUAACACAUGCAAGUCGAGCGGUAAGGCCUUUCGGGGUACACGAGCGGCGAACGGGUGAGUAACACGUGGGUGAUCUGCCCUGCACUUCGGGAUAAGCCUGGGAAACUGGGUCUAAUACCGGAUAUGACCUCCUAUCGCAUGGUGGGUGGUGGAAAGAUUUAUCGGUGCAGGAUGGGCCCGCGGCCUAUCAGCUUGUUGGUGGGGUAAUGGCCUACCAAGGCGACGACGGGUAGCCGACCUGAGAGGGUGACCGGCCACACUGGGACUGAGACACGGCCCAGACUCCUACGGGAGGCAGCAGUGGGAAUAUGCACAAUGGGCGAAAGCCUGAUGCAGCGACGCCGCGUGAGGGAUGACGGCCUUCGGGUGUAAACCUCUUCAGCAGGACGAAGCGCAAGUGACGUACCUGCAGAAGAAGCACCGACUAACACGUGCCAGCAGCGC
rnacentral:rRNA from 1 species